rnacentral:lncRNA from 10 species
GUCAUCUGGCUGCUUCUUGCUGGAUAGGGGCAAUGGUUGAGGGGAGAGGAGCAGGCACUAGGAAAGACAACUCUUAAGAUGUUACGAUUUGUACUUUAAUAUUCAGCCAUAGCUUCACAUUAGAAUCAUUUGGAAAAGUUUUUUAAAGUACUGGUAACUGUGACUUGACCCCUGAAGAUUCUGAUUUUAAAGUUUUGGAAUUUGGUGUUUGGACUUCUUAAGACUCCUUCCCUCCAGGAUACCAUAACAUAAGGAAAUUUAUCAGUGGUGUGGUUCCUCGUGCAACAAAUAUGAACGUCUGAAGGCAAACCAGGUAGCUACUGGCAUUCGGUACAAUGAAAGGAAAGGAAGGUCUGAACUAAUUGUCGUGGAAGAAGGAAGUGAACCCUCAGAACUUAUAAAGGUCUUAGGGGAAAAGCCAGAGCUUCCAGAUGGAGGUGAUGAUGAUGACAUUAUAGCAGACAUAAGUAACAGGAAAAUGGCUAAACUAUACAUGGUUUCAGAUGCAAGUGGCUCCAUGAGAGUGACUGUGGUGGCAGAAGAAAACCCCUUCUCAAU